rnacentral:pre_miRNA from 1 species
GCUGCGGAGGAUUUAGAUGAAAGUAAUUAUCGUGGUUGCUUUGAUUUGUACUCCUCGCGUUUCGC